rnacentral:tRNA from 1 species
CGAGCCGAUGGCCUGGCAGGGCAGGUUCGCGUACGCGGCACUCGCGCUGAUCGGCAUCGGCGGGCCCGCGGUGUUCCACGCGAUGUGGCUCGAC